AGUGAACGCUGGCGGUAGGCCUAACACAUGCAAGUCGAACGGCAGCACAGUAAGAGCUUGCUCUUACGGGUGGCGAGUGGCGGACGGGUGAGGAAUACAUCGGAAUCUACUUUUUCGUGGGGGAUAACGUAGGGAAACUUACGCUAAUACCGCAUACGACCUACGGGUGAAAGCAGGGGAUCUUCGGACCUUGCGCGAUUGAAUGAGCCGAUGUCGGAUUAGCUAGUUGGCGGGGUAAAGGCCCACCAAGGCGACGAUCCGUAGCUGGUCUGAGAGGAUGAUCAGCCACACUGGAACUGAGACACGGUCCAGACUCCUACGGGAGGCAGCAGUGGGGAAUAUUGGACAAUGGGCGCAAGCCUGAUCCAGCCAUACCGCGUGGGUGAAGAAGACCUUCGGGUUGUAAAGCCCUUUUGUUGGGAAAGAAAAGCAGCAGGUUAAUACCCCGCUGUUCUGACGGUACCCAAAGAAUAAGCACCGGCUAACUUCG
rnacentral:rRNA from 1 species